CUCCCCACGCAGAAUCCACCGCGAGGUCUCCGCCGCCCUAACCGCGCCCUUCCAUCCAUGGUUGCAGUGGUGUCGUGCUCCCCAGAUCUACCACGGGCGCGUGCCCGGAUCUGGCCCGACGAACAGCGGUGGAGCUCGCGCGGUGUUCCAUUCAUGGAUUGGGAUCUCAAGAUGUCGGUCUCCUAGGACCUCCGCGACUUCCCCCGCGACAGCGUCGGGCAUUGCCGCCGCAGCUGCCGCGCCUUCCCUCGCGACGGCGCCGAGCCGAGCGGAGUGCUCCGUCGACCUCAAGCUCGGCAGGACGACACCACCACGAAGGAGCCGGUGGCUGCAACCGCAGCGCCGUCCGCCAGCCCGAUGGGCGGCGUCGGGCAUUGCCGCCGCAGCUGCCGAGCCUUCCCCCGCGACGGUGCUGAGCCGGGCGGAGUGCUCCGUCGACCUCAAGCUCGGCGGGCUAGGCCCAGGAGCAGCCCCCGGCCCCGGGGACCUGCGACCUGUACAAGGGCCGCUGGGUGUACGACGAGUCCCGCGCGCCGCUGUACAAGGAGUCCGACUGCAGCUUCCUCACGGAGCAGGUCACCUGUAUGCGCAACGGCCGACGCGACGACGACUACCAGAAGUGGCGCUGGCAGCCCGACGGCUGCGAUCUCCCCAGUUCGGCUGCUUCAAGGUGCUCGGAAAGGGGAUGCUGUUGUCCAACCCCAUCAUUGUUAGGGCCAAGCUCAUCUCCAAGAUCAUCGAGAAGAGGAUCAAUGUUACUGGAGGCACUGUCUUGCUGACCGCCACAUAGAUGCUGUCGACGGAUAUGCAUAGAAGAGAACAUAUAUGCAUAAAAGGGAGUAAAACUAAGAUUUGGAGUAAAGAAUUCUCCACUCUCUUGACUUGACGAGGCUAUAUAACCAGAGGCCAUCAGAGGAGAACUGAAGACUGAGAGCAUUCUCUGCUUAUAAUCUUUAUUCCUCUAUAUUCUAAAUUAUUUUUUUCAAUCCCCUUCCACCUGGAUUCGAUUCGAAUCCCACACCACCACGUGGUGUUCUUCCUAUAUCGAAUAAACGUUGUUUCGCUUGUCUAAUGAUCGAUAGGGCACUGAAAGAGUCAUUCCUAGAGACUCUACGGAAGGACACAACGGAGAUGGAGCAGCCUGCUUGAGAAGAGGCGGCGGAGGAGAAGGAAGCGCUCAACCUAGACUCGUGGUCGUCGACCAGCAUGCGCCUUGACGUCCUCUUUUUUGAUUCAUUUAUUUGAUUUUUUGAACAAAAUUGCCCUUGUCUUUGUCCUUCCUCCCUUUUUUCAUUUUCUUAAUGCCCUCAUGUAAAAUAUAAGGCAUGUGUUGUUCAAAUCUUUCUUUUAAAACUACAUGUAUUUCGUGUGUUCUAUGAUGAUAUAUACAGAAACUGGUCUUCUUGA